rnacentral:rRNA from 1 species
GCCACUCUUAACGGGGUGGCUUUUCAGAAGUGUAAAAAGCUUCUGGAAUAAGGGCUGGGCAAGACCGGUGCCAGCCGCCGCGGUAACACCGGCAGCUCAAGUGGUAGCCGCUUUUAUUGGGCCUAAAGCGUCCGUAGCCGGUCUGAUAAGUCUCUGGUGAAAUCCCACAGCUUAACUGUGGGAAUUGCUGGAGAUACUAUCAUGACUCGAGGUCGGGAGAGGCUGGAGGUACUCCCAGGGUAGGGGUGAAAUCCUG